UCCUGACAGCCGCAUAGUGUGGCUGACUUGACCCACGACAUGAGAUACACAUG
ncrna:unclassified sequences Mu-gpT-DE RNA